rnacentral:misc_RNA from 1 species
GAUGAAGAACGCAGCAAAAUGCGAUAAGUAAUGUGAAUUGCAGAAUUCAGUGAAUCAUCGAAUCUUUGAACGCACAUUGCGCCCGCCAGUAUUCUGGCGGGCAUGCCUGUUCGAGCGUCAUUUCAACCCUCAAGCACAGCUUGGUGUUGGGACUCGCGUUAAUUCGCGUUCCUCAAAUUGAUUGGCGGUCACGUCGAGCUUCCAUAGCGUAGUAGUAAAACCCUCGUUACUGGUAAUCGUCGCGGCCACGCCGUUAAACCCCAACUUCUGAAUGUUGACCUCGGAUCAGGUAGGAAUACCCGCUGAACUUAAGCAUAUCAAUAAGCGGAGG